rnacentral:misc_RNA from 1 species
GAUGAAGAACGUAGUGAAAUGCGAUACGUAAUGUGAAUUGCAGAAUUCAGUGAAUCAUCGAAUCUUUGAACGCACAUUGCGCCCGCCAGCACUCUGGCGGGCAUGCCUGUCCGAGCGUCAUUUCAACCCUCGAGCACCGCUCGGCGUUGGGGGAGCGGCCCGCGCGCCGCCCCCCGAAAUGCAGUGGCGACCUCGCCGCGUUCCUCCCCUGCGCAGUAGCUCUCAAGAGAACCUCGCAUCGGCGGCGCGGCGGCGGUCACGCCGUGAAACACCCCCCUCAAGAGUUGACCUCGGAUCAGGUAGGGAUACCCGCUGAACUUAAGCAUAUCAAUAAGCGGAGGA